GUAUCAUUUUAGUCUUUUGACUAAGAACAAGUGUACUAUCUCUUUUUGUCAGGUUACCUGUUAUAUCCUCAGUAUGGGAAAAUAUAUUAAAUGGAUUUUUGGAAUUAUGAUAUUAAAAGGGAGAUCAUACCAUCCAGUCCACAUGUCAACCUGAAAUAUUUUGAAAAAAGACUAAAAUUAA
ensembl:snRNA U2 U2 spliceosomal RNA